CGGGACACGUGGUAUCCUGUCUGAAUAUGGGGGGACCAUCCUCCAAGGCUAAAUACUCCUGACUGACCGAUAGUGAACCAGUACCGUGAGGGAAAGGCGAAAAGAACCCCGGCGAGGGGAGUGAAAAAGAACCUGAAACCGUGUACGUACAAGCAGUGGGAGCACGCUUAGGCGUGUGACUGCGUACCUUUUGUAUAAUGGGUCAGCGACUUAUAUUCUGUAGCAAGGUUAACCGAAUAGGGGAGCCGAAGGGAAACCGAGUCUUAACUGGGCGUUAAGUUGCAGGGUAUAGACCCGAAACCCGGUGAUCUAGCCAUGGGCAGGUUGAAGGUUGGGUAACACUAACUGGAGGACCGAACCGACUAAUGUUGAAAAAUUAGCGGAUGACUUGUGGCUGGGGGUGAAAGGCCAAUCAAACCGGGAGAUAGCUGGUUCUCCCCGAAAGCUAUUUAGGUAGCGCCUCGUGAAUUCAUCUCCGGGGGUAGAGCACUGUUUCGGCAAGGGGGUCAUCCCGACUUACCAACCCGAUGCAAACUGCGAAUACCGGAGAAUGUUAUCACGGGAGACACACGGCGGGUGCUAACGUCCGUCGUGAAGAGGGAAACAACCCAGACCGCCAGCUAAGGUCCCAAAGUCAUGGUUAAGUGGGAAACGAUGUGGGAAGGCCCAGACAGCCAGGAUGUUGGCUUAGAAGCAGCCAUCAUUUAAAGAAAGCGUAAUAGCUCACUGGUCGAGUCGGCCUGCGCGGAAGAUGUAACGGGGCUAAACCAUGCACCGAAGCUGCGGCAGCGACGCUGAUGCGUUGUUGGGUA
rnacentral:rRNA from 2 species